rnacentral:rRNA from 1 species
GACGUAGGGCGCGAGCGUUGUCCGGAUUUAUUGGGCGUAAAGAGCUCGUAGGCGGCUCGUUGCGUCGGCUGUGAAAACCCGCAGCUCAACUGUGGGCUUGCAGCUGAUACGGGCGGGCUGGGAUUCGGUAGGGGAGACUGGAAUUCCUGGUGUAGCGGUGAAAUGCGCAGAUAUCAGGAGGAACACCGGUGGCGAAGGCGGGUCUCUGGGCAGUGGCUGACGCUGAGGCGCGACAGCGUGGGGAGCAAACAGG